rnacentral:rRNA from 1 species
CAGCCGCCGCGGUAAUCCGGAGGGAGCUAGCGUUAACCGGAAUUACUGGGCGUAAAGCGUGCGUAGGCGGUGAGUUAAGUCUGCUGUGAAAUCCCCGGGCUCAACCUGGGAGCGGCAGUGGAUACUGGCUCGCUAGAGUGUGUCAGAGGAUGGUGGAAUUCCCGGUGUAGCGGUGAAAUGCGUAGAGAUCGGGAGGAACAUCAGUGGCGAAGACGGCCAUCUGGGACAACACUGACGCUGAGGCACGAAAGCGUGGGGAGCAAACAGGAUUAGAUACCCCGGUAGUCCCUGUCUUUAUACA